AGAACGAACGCUGGCGGCAGGCUUAACACAUGCAAGUCGAACGCCCCGCAAGGGGAGUGGCAGACGGGUGAGUAACACGUGGGAACAUGCCCAAAGGUACGGAACAACUCCGGGAAACUGGAGCUAAUACCGUAUGUGCCCGAAAGGGAAAGAUUUAUCGCCUUUGGAUUGGCCCGCGUCGGA
rnacentral:rRNA from 1 species